rfam:Gossypium hirsutum cultivar TM-1 chromosome 2, whole genome shotgun sequence
GAAAGCCAUGUGCAAUGAAAAAUGCAAGCACGAUUUGGGGAGGAAUUUUUUAUUCUUUUAAAUUUAAAUUUAUUUAACUGAAACAAGGAAAUUAUCUACUCCAU